UAAGUUUUAAGUUAUAUAAACUAUGAGCCUUCCAAGCUUAAAACAAGCACUCUUAAACUUAA
rnacentral:tRNA from 1 species